rnacentral:rRNA from 1 species
AUUGGACGCUGGCGGCAUGCUUUACACAUGCAAGUCGAACGGUAACAGGCCGCAAGGUGCUGACGAGUGGCGAACGGGUGAGUAAUGCAUCGGAACGUGCCCAGUCGUGGGGGAUAACUACUCGAAAGAGUAGCUAAUACCGCAUACGAUCUAUGGAUGAAAGCGGGGGACCGUAAGGCCUCGCGCGAUUGGAGCGGCCGAUGUCAGAUUAGGUAGUUGGUGGGGUAAAGGCUCACCAAGCCAACGAUCUGUAGCUGGUCUGAGAGGACGACCAGCCACACUGGGACUGAGACACGGCCCAGACUCCUACGGGAGGCAGCAGUGGGGAAUUUUGGACAAUGGGCGCAAGCCUGAUCCAGCAAUGCCGCGUGCAGGAAGAAGGCCUUCGGGUUGUAAACUGCUUUUGUACGGAACGAAACGGCUCUGGUUAAUACCCGGGGCUAAUGACGGUACCGUAAGAAUAAGCACCGGCUAACUACGU